rnacentral:tRNA from 1 species
UAAAGCAUAGGUUAAUUUAAACUACUACCGUUCAAAGGUGGAAAUACCUGAUAGGGUUGUUUUAU